UUAUCUUCAGAAAAUUAUUUCACCAGCGUAAGAACUGAGACAAAAAUCCACUAGGACAUUCUCUAUUGGUCAGUCACUUGCAAACGGACAUGCUCAGACUUUACAUUCCAAGAAAAACGUGUCUGCAGAAUAAAAACCCAGAAGUUCAACCUCUAUUAAUUCCAAAGAAGAUGGAGCUGGAGUGGAGAAUCUUUUACUUAAAGAAACCCAGUCACAUUUUGACCUCAUUUUAUGGACCGCUUUGCCAAAGACUCCCAUCAUUGGAGCGUUUGACCUCCAAACCUCAAGUAUAGAUGCCUGGCAAAAACCACCGAGGAAGAGAGAAACGAUGAUAGCAAAAACACAUCUCCUGGAAUUCUCCUUGGCACGUGCGGUCUCUCGUCUGUACCUGCUAUCGCGAAACCCUAGUUUAAAUGAAACUUUAUGAAAGACAUUUUGGGCACAACUGGAAAAAUCUGGAUACAUACUGGUCAUGUGAUAAUACUCGGGCAUCACUUCGCUUUAUUAAGACUGACAACGGCAAGUUCUCACAAAGGAGAACUUGGAGACGCACGCUUAAGUAUUUAGAAGGAAAGAGAGAUCACAAGUAGGCAAAGAGGCAGGCAGAGAGAGAGAGGAGGAAACAGGCUCUCUGCAGAGCAGAGAGCCCGAUGUGGGACUUGAUUCCAGGACCCUGGGAUCAUGACCUGAGCCAAAAGGAAGAAGCUUAAUUCACCGAGCCACCCAGGAGCCCCUGGAUCUACUUCUUGACACAGCGAUUCCAAAACUGUCCACCUUCAAUAAUUAACUACGCUCCAUGUUUUUUUCAUGUGGUUUUCUAGAACUGUGUUAUACUUUACAACUUAAAAGAUUUUAAAGCAAGGACUAGGAAUAUAUAGGCCAACCUAUUGGUUGUGACCCAACCUUAUUUUCCUUUUUCUCUUUAGUAACUAACCCACUUUUCUAUUUGGUUUUACUCAGAAAAGUUGGGAGUGGGAAGAUACCACUUUUCAAAGGUUUUUCAUUAAUGUAACAGAAGGACACCUCCAUAUAGUAAUAGUCCUUAAGUCUACUAUUAAAAUGGUGACUGAGAUCUAUACAUGUCCUCUGCAUAGUAUAUUUUAAAACAAACACUUGGAUAUCACACAAAGGAGCCAAUGUUCUGUCUGGCUUUGGAAAACAAAAGACAUAUCGUCUGUGAGUAUGCCAUGCGAAGAGCUCUAGGCAGACACUUGGUACUGGGAAUGGCCAGAGUGCCCCUCACCCCCAUCUUCUAUCAAUGGUACUUUUGUUUGAAUCACACAGUUGUCUAGCGACACCUACUCAGCAUUGGUAGGAGGCCAGAAGUCAAGACAACUGGGUGGCAGCCACAGUUCUGCCAAUAACCAACAGCUUCUAGCAACUCACUUCCCUUCUCUAAGAUAGCCCUAUACAAAUCCACAGGAUUUCUGAACCCUCCUCCACCUUAGCCGCCCACCUUGAAAUUUUGAUAAUAGUAACAGGAUGUUUUAUGGAACCAUAACGGACUCAUUUAUGCCUCCGCUGCCUGGGGUGGUAGACACAUUGUCAUGGUUGAUGACGCAGGCUGUGUCCUGGACAAGGGUGCCCAGCUGAGGAGACAAGUUCAGGUUUAGAGCCAGCCUGGGCUCUCUCUUUCAAAGCACAGCAACUUGUUGGCGGGAAGAGUCGUGUCUUCCUAAUUCACACAAAGCCACUGUCUGUAUCCAAGCUCAGGCAGUCCAACCUGAGAGGUCUCUUUGAGUUUACAUAAAAUUGCUCAAGGUGCUUUCAGAUGUAAGUACUAUUUUUAUCCCUGCUAUCUAGAUGAAGACACUGAAAUGCAGGCCAGUAAGCAAUCUGCCUAAUUUCAUACAGCUGGUAGGGGGCAGAGUCAGGACUCGAAGCUGGGCAGUCUGGCUCCUGACCUGUGUUCCCAACGCAGUAUGCUAUGUCACCUAAAUAUGUCCGUGUCCCUGGCAUUUUUUUCCCCAUUAUCAGUUGAGUUGUAAAAUAAAGCUCUGACUCCCCACUGUCUGUGCCACCUUCUUCUCUCUUCAGUGUGCCUUUUCCUUACACUGCGGAAUAAGAAAGUAAACCCCAAAUCCAGAAAAAUGUCAAAAUGCCCGUGCAUGUAUUAUCACUUUGCACAAUUCCAUAACAGAAAGCUGUGAUGUGCUAGAUUUUUAUCUCCAUAUGCAAAGAAUCAUCACAAAUAUCCAAAAAAUCCAAACUGAAAUAAUCCUAUAUACCACUUGACCCCCUAUGGAAGGAAAAAUAAAUACCCAUUAAUGGGGAA